AAUACGUUCCCGGGCCUUGUACACACCGCCCGUCAAGCCAUGGAAGCUGGAAAGUGCCUGAAGUGUGUAACCGUAAGGAGCGUCCUAGGGUAAAGUCGGUAACUGGGGCU
rnacentral:rRNA from 1 species